UACAGAGGGUGCGAGCGUCAAUCGGAAUUACUGGGCGUAAAGCGUGUGUAGGUGGUUAGGUAAGUUAGAUGUGAAAUCCCCGGGCUCAACCUGGGAAUUGCGUUUAAAACUGCUUGGCUAGAGUAUUGUAGAGGAUAGUGGAAUUUCCAGUGUAGCGGUGAAAUGCGUAGAUAUUGGAAGGAACACCAGUGGCGAAGGCGACUAUCUGGGCAGAUACUGACACUGAGACGCGAAAGCGUGGGGAGCAAACAGG
rnacentral:rRNA from 1 species